GUGCUGCAUGGCUGUCGUCAGCUCGUGUUGUGAAAUGUUGGGUUAAGUCCCGCAACGAGCGCAACCCUUAUCCUUUGUUGCCAGCGGUUAGGCCGGGAACUCAAAGGAGACUGCCAGUGAUAAACUGGAGGAAGGUGGGGAUGACGUCAAGUCAUCAUGGCCCUUACGAGUAGGGCUACACACGUGCUACAAUGGCGCAUACAAAGAGAAGCGACCUCGCGAGAGCAAGCGGACCUCAUAAAGUGCGUCGUAGUCCGGAUUGGAGUCUGCAACUCGACUCCAUGAAGUCGGAAUCGCUAGUAAUCGUGGAUCAGAAUGCNACGGUGAAUA
rnacentral:rRNA from 1 species